rnacentral:tRNA from 1 species
GGCUUUGUAGGAUAAUAAUCUAUUGUUUUUAGGGGACAAAGAUACUACAUUAUGUUAGUUUAAGUUA